rnacentral:rRNA from 1 species
UACGAAGGGGGCUAGCGUUGCUCGGAAUCACUGGGCGUAAAGCGCACGUAGGCGGCGCAGCAAGUCAGGGGUGAAAUCCCGGAGCUCAACUCCGGAACUGCCUUUGAAACUGCAGUGCUAGAAUCCUGGAGAGGCGAGUGGAAUUCCGAGUGUAGAGGUGAAAUUCGUAGAUAUUCGGAAGAACACCAGUGGCGAAGGCGACUCGCUGGACAGGUAUUGACGCUGAGGUGCGAAAGCGUGGGGAGCAAACAGG